CUAGGUAUCCCUCGACUUUCGAGAAAUGUGUCACCCAGAAAAAUGCCUCAAUCUGAAAAAUUCUACCAUCACUGGAUAGAUAAUUUAAUAUUCUAUCGAUUGAGGAAGUUUGGUGGGUGGCACAUUCCUAUUAAUGCACUAAUAUCGACUUUAAAAAUUUCAAUGCACUUUUUAGAAAAAAAUCGCGACAUUUUCUUCCUUGGUGACAACCGCGCCAUCUAUUGAUGAGCAAAAACUAUGUAGCUUCGAGACCUUUAACAGUUUUUGACAUAACCUUACUUUUUUGUUUGGAUUCUUGAUUUUCACCAUUUUCUUUGUUUUAAAGCUUAUUUUUGUGCUUUAACAUGACUAAAAUACAGUAAAAGUUAGAAUAUUUGCCUAAGUGAUGUGUAAAGUGCUGCCGAUUUGUGAUACGUGACAAAGAAAAUGUUUAUUUUCACGAGUGAAAGUUGUAAUGCUAUCCGGAAGACUUUGUGCAAGAAAAAAUGGGGAUAUCUUUGUCGCAGGCAAAUUUCUGAUUGCAAAUUGGAAUAUCAGGCGAAUCUUGAACUGACAAAAAGUCUAGGUGCCCCAUGAUUUUGUCAGGAGUCAUGUCCGGUCAUCAAUUCUCACCGAGGAAUGCGAAGUAUUCAGUUCUCAAGGGAAGGAUCAAGGAGACUGUAGCGCCUAUGAGAAGAUUGAUUCACAACACUGAAGCAUAAUAGAAGUACCAAAGAAGGACCAGAAAAGCAGAUUAUGAUUUUAUUUAACGUCACCGGAGAUUAACUUGUAGUGCUACAGUACUAAUAAGCGAAUCCUGAGAAGCUCAAUGUCCAGGAUUCAUUGAAUGUCGGGAAGAAGCUGUUCUCUCUUGAGAAGUGGAAAAUUCCGUCUGACUAUUCCCAGUUCAGGAAAUGCUGUGAACACUCACAAGAAAUAAUUUCUAAUUUAGGGUGAAAAUUGGAAUUUUAUUUGUCUACAAAUGUCGCAAACUCUGUGGCAUCUAUAUGAUCAACAUAUUUUUUUCCGGAAGAUUGCUGUUGUGUUUUCUUCGUUGCAAUAGGCUCACUCAAAACGAAUUGCUCAAUGUACGGAAUGAGGGCAGUAAUUGUGAAGUCCUGAAUGAGAUGACGCGGUUUAUGUGCAUCGCUGGCUGAUAGGUAUAUCCUACGUAGUACUGAUAUUGAUUUCUUCACAACUAAUAAUCAUAUAUUUUGAUUCUUAGGUAGCAAAAUAGGAGUCUCAGUACUGUGAUCAUUGGCGAUAUAUCUCCUGCAUUUCCCCGCAGGAGCUACAGUGAAGGAUGUACCGCUUCAUCGAUGAGAAUUGCCAGAGUGCAGAUUUAGAUCAACUUUGGGGUGAUACCUCAAAUAUCACAUUUAAACUUCUGGAAAUAUUCAAAGAAAUAGAAUUUGAUUAGAAUUUAGAAUAAUUUUCUCUGCAUACAAUGUUUAAUGAUUCAAAAAUUUGCUGAGAGUUCAUGAUGUGAUCGUGAUACUAAAUCGAAACUUUAUAAUAGCAUCUAUAGAAAUGUUAAUGUACAGUUUGCCUGUUAAAAAAAAAUGAUUAAAAAAUUUUCAAUUUAAAAAAUAA